rnacentral:lncRNA from 1 species
GCUGACUUUCCAAAAGUCAGAGAGAGCAUCAACAUCUCCAGAGGGCACCAACAGAACUCCCUAAACUGUGUACAGCCUCCUCAGAGAUGCAUCAUCAGUCACGCUGUCGGCAGCAUGAUCUGGGACUCAGCCACUAACUUAUCUGCGCACGCAGUGAAACAGAAUUACCGGGAGGCCUGAUGGGAGCACACACUAGGAACCAGUGGGGUGAGGGGCGUCUGUGUGGGCAGCUGCAGGGCAAACACCAGCAGUGUGAAAGCAGGGGUCCCAGGAGAGGGCCCGUGAGACUGGAUCCAAAUGGGAGUUGAGAAUAAAGAGUGAAGAAGCCAGGCUUUACCCAAGAGCAGAACCACGGUACGAUUCACUAAGAAGAUACAGCAUCACGUCCACAAUAUGCCUGCCAAAAAUGCAGAGCCUGAAUCUGACCAUGGGGAAAUUUGAGACAAACUGAAAUUGAGGGGCAAUCUACAAAAUAACUGGCCUGCACUCCAACAAUGUCAAGGUCAUGAAAGACAAAGAAAGAUUAGAGGGUUUUCCAGAAUAAAAAAGAGACAAAAGAGACAUGCGGACUAAAUGCAGUACGUGAUUCUGGACCGGAUAGUGGACUAUGAAACCCUGCUCUUUUUUUCUUUUGCUAUAAAAGACACUACUGGGAAAAC